UGGGGAAUAUUGGACAAUGGGCGCAAGCCUGAUCCAGCCAUGCCGCGUGAGUGAUGAAGGCCUUAGGGUUGUAAAGCUCUUUUGUCCGGGAAGAUAAUGACGGUACCGGAAGAAUAAGCCCCGGCUAACUUCGUGCCAGCAGCCGCGGUAAUACGAAGGGGGCUAGCGUUGUUCGGAAUCACUGGGCGUAAAGCGCACGUAGGCGGACCUUUAAGUCAGGGGUGAAAGCCUGGAGCUCAACUCCAGAACUGCCUUUGAUACUGGAGGUCUCGAGUGUGGAAGAGGUUGGUGGAACUGCGAGUGUAGAGGUGAAAUUCGUAGAUAUUCGCAAGAACACCAGUGGCGAAGGCGGCCAACUGGUCCAUUACUGACGCUGAGGUGCGAAAGCGUGGGGAGCAAACA
rnacentral:rRNA from 1 species